ACUCCUACGGGAGGCAGCAGUAGGGAAUCUUCCACAAUGGGCGCAAGCCUGAUGGAGCAACACCGCGUGAGUGAAGAAGGGUUUCGGCUCGUAAAGCUCUGUUGUUAAAGAAGAACACGUAUGAGAGUAACUGUUUAUACGUUGACGGUAUUUAACCAGAAAGUCACGGCUAACUACGUGCCAGCAGCCGCGGUAAUACGUAGGUGGCAAGCGUUAUCCGGAUUUAUUGGGGCGUAAAGAGAGUGCAGGCGGUUUUCUAAGUCUGAUGUGAAAGCCUUCGGCUUAACCGGAGAGGUGCAUCGGAAACUGGAUAACUUGAGUGCAGAAGAGGGUAGUGGAACUCCAUGUGUAGCGGUGGAAUGCGUAGAUAUAUGGAAGAACACCAGUGGCGAAGGCGGCUACCUGGUCUGCAACUGACGCUGAGACUCGAAAGCAUGGGUAGCGAACAGGAUUAGAUACCCUGGUAGGAUAGCG
rnacentral:rRNA from 1 species